GAUGAACGCUGGCGGCGUGCCUAACACAUGCAAGUCGAACGAAGCACCUUUUAAGAUUCUUCGGAUGAUUGAUCGGUGACUGAGUGGCGGACGGGUGAGUAACGCGUGGGUAACCUGCCCUGUACAGGGGGAUAACAGUUGGAAACGGCUGCUAAUACCGCAUAAGCGCACGAGAGGACAUCCUCUUGUGCGAAAAACUCCGGUGGUACAGGAUGGGCCCGCGUCUGAUUAGCUGGUUGGCAGGGUAACGGCCUACCAAGGCGACGAUCAGUAGCCGGUCUGAGAGGAUGAACGGGCACAUUGGAACUGGAACACGGUCCAAACUCCUACGGGAGGCAGCAGUGGGGAAUAUUGCACAAUGGGGGAAACCCUGAUGCAGCAACGCCGCGUGAGUGAAGAAGUAUUUCGGUAUGUAAAGCUCUAUCAGCAGGGAAGAUAAUGACGGUACUUGAGGAGGAAGCCCCGGCUAACUACGUGCCAGCCGCCGCCGUAA
rnacentral:rRNA from 1 species